rnacentral:rRNA from 1 species
GACGAACGCUGGCGGCGUGCUUAACACAUGCCAGUCGAACGGAAAGGCCCUGCUUUUGUGGGGUGCUCGAGUGGCGAACGGGUGAGUAACACGUGAGUAACCUGCCCUUGACUUUGGGAUAACUUCAGGCAACUGGGGCUAAUACCGGAUAGGAGCUCCUGCUGCAUGGUGGGGGUUGGAAAGUUUCGGCGGUUGGGGAUGGACUCGAGGCUUAUCAGCUUGUUGGUGGGGUUGUGGCUUACCAAGGCUUUGACGGGUAGCCGGCCUGAGAGGUGGACCGGCCACAUGGGGACUAAGAUACAGCCCAGACUCCUACGGGAGGCAGCAGUGGGAAAUAUUGCACAAGGGGCGGAAGCCGGAUGCAGCAACGCCGCGUGCGGGAUGACGGCCUUCGGGUUGUAAACCGCUUGCGCCUGUGACGAAGCGUGGGUGACGGUAAUGGAUAAAGAAGCACCGGCUAACUACGUG